rnacentral:lncRNA from 1 species
GCAGAGUUUGUUACUGGCCUGCCUGGGGACAGUGACACUGGAGAUGCGCGUUCAUGUGAAUUCUCCAUUUUGUUCUUUCAGUCUUUGAACGAAUACAACGUCGCCCGGUUGGAAUAUUAUCGCUAUUUUACGAGAAAAAUCGCAUAAAAAUUGAUUUUAAACAGCGUUUGACAUGCUUCGAAGUACGGUAAUGGAAUAUUUUGAAUUUUUUUGUCAUUGUGACCUGAAUACACGAACAAAACGGAGCUAUUUCAAUAUAACUAUGGAUUAUUUCGAACCAAAACAACAUUUGUUGUUGAAGUAGAAGUCCUGGGAGUGCAUUCUGACGAAAAACAGCAAAGGAUUUGGACCUGUUCCCGGGAAAGCAGUAUGUCGGACGCGUCGGACUCGUUAAAGGGGGAAAAAAACUUCUGCCAGUUUGUGGACCUGAGCCCUAGGACCAUGCCUCAGGACUACCUGGCCUGAUGACUCCUUGUUGUCCCCAGUCCACCUGCUGUCCCCAGUCCACCCCAGUCCACCUGCU